UGGGGAAUAUUGCGCAAUGGGGGAAACCCUGACGCAGCGACGCCGCGCGCGGGAUGAAGGCCUUCGGGCUGUAAACCGCUUUUGAUCGGGAGCAAGCUUUCGGGUGAGUGUACCUUUCGAAUAAGCGCCGGCUAACUACGUGCCAGCAGCCGCGGUAAUACGUAGGGCGCAAGCGUUAUCCGGAAUUUUUGGGCGUAAAGAGCUCGUAGGCGGGUCGUCGCGUCUGGUGUGAAAGCCCAUCGCUUAACGGUGGGUUUGCGCCGGGUACGGGCGGGCUGGAGUGCAGUAGGGGAGACUGGAAUUCUCGGUGUAACGGUGGAAUGUGUAGAUAUCGGGAAGAACACCAAUGGCGAAGGCAGGUCUCUGGGCUGUUAAUGACGCUGAGAAGCGAAAGCGUGGGGAGCGAACAGG
rnacentral:rRNA from 1 species